GACGAACGCUGGCGGCGUGCUUAACAUAUGCAAGUCGAACGAUGAAGCCAGCUUGCUGGUGGAUUAGUGGCGAACGGGUGAGUAACACGUGGGUGAUCUGCCCCAAACUUUGGGAUAAGCCUGGGAAACUGGGUCUAAUACCGAAUAUGACCGAUACUCGCAUGGGUGUUGGUGGAAAGCUCCGGCGGUUUGGGAUGGGCCCGCGGCCUAUCAGCUUGUUGGUGGGGUAAUGGCCUACCAAGGCGACGACGGGUAGCCGGCCUGAGAGGGCGACCGGCCACACUGGGACUGAGACACGGCCCAGACUCCUACGGGAGGCAGCAGUGGGGAAUAUUGCACAAUGGGCGCAAGCCUGAUGCAGCGACGCCGCGUGAGGGAUGACGGCCUUCGGGUUGUAAACCUCUUUCACCAGGGACGAAGCGAAAGUGACGGUACCUGGAGAAGAAGCACCGGCCAACUACGUG
rnacentral:rRNA from 1 species